CCCUUAGAUGUUCUGGGCCGCACGCGUGCUACACUGAGUGGAUCAGCGGGUCAGGUUGCGCGAAAGCGUUUCCUAAUCUUUAAAUCCGCUCGUGAUGGGGAUUGACGGUUGCAAUUUUCUGUCAUGAACGAGGAAUACCUUGUAAGCGCGGGUCAUCAUCCCGCGCUGAAUACGUCCCUGCCCUUUGUACACACCGCCCGUCGCUCCUACCGAUUGAGUGGUCCGGUGAGGCUUUGGGAUCUGAGCGGAAAGAGCGUUUCGCUGUUUCUGCUCGGAAAACUCAGUCGAACCUUAUCACUUAGAGGAAGGAGAAGUCGUAACA
rnacentral:rRNA from 1 species